rnacentral:lncRNA from 1 species
GGAUGCACUCCUUUCCUUGGCGAUCUUUGCAUGCAGAGUAGAAACAGACCAAUGAAUCCGCGUUCAAGCAAAAUAUUCGCGAGCGCGAGGACCUAUAAAUAUAUAUCGCCUUGAUCGAACAGUACUACGUCUCCAUCCAAAUCGUAAGUAUAUCUGCACGCGCACACCAGCGUUGAGAGAGAGAGAAAGCUAGCUACGUACGAAGCCACACCAAGGGAAUGGCCACCAUGGCGUCGGAGUGGGAAGCUGCCACGGCGGACGAGGCCCAGGCCCUGCCGUUGACGGACAACCUCCUCCCUGCUCAAGCUGCGACGGCCGACGACGACCUCCUCACCGCUCAUAAAGACCUGUACAUGGACAAGAUGAAAGGCUACACGGACAUCCACAACUUCGGCCUCUCUCAUCUUAAGUCCUCGGCGAUAAGGUGUGCCGUCGAACUCGGCAUCCCGAGUGUCAUCAACCACCGCGGCGGAGCGGCCACCAUAUCGGACAUCUUCACCGACACGGGGAUCCACACGUCCAAGCUCCCGCAACUUCGCCGGCUUUUGCGUGUGCUAGCCGUCUGCGGCAUUUUGGAUGACUCGCCACCCGUUGGUGACAGUACGGCCUUCUGCUACACGCUCACUCCGGUCUCCCGCCUCCUCGUCCACGAUGGCGAGUUCGACAUUUCCCCGCUCCUUCUACUCAUGACCCGCCCCGACACCACCGUUUCCACCUUCUUCCGUCUUGAAAGUUGGUUCAAAGAUCCCGCUGCCAACACGCCUUUCGAGAUGGCCCAUGGUAUGUCUCCAUGGAGUCUGACCAAGGUGGACGCUUCGUACAACGAUGCAAUGAAUGAUGCAUGCGUCGCCGACAGCAACCUCAUCAUGCAUAUUGUGCUGAAAGAGGCACCUGCUAUCUUCCGCGGGCUAACCUCGCUCAUCGAUGUCGCCGGGGGCCAUGGCAUAGCCGCCGUGGCCAUUGCCAAGGAGUUCCCCCAAAUCACUUGCACUGUCCUCGACCUACAACAAGUCAUAGAAAAGGCACCUAGGUGUGCCACGGUGAACUACAUUGUUGGCGACAUGUUUAAAUUUAUUCCGCCAGCUGACGCCGUUUUACUCAAGGUACUCUCCUCCCGUCACCUUCUUUCAUUUCACCUUACUCAGCUUUAACACUACUUUUGUAUUUUCCACAUGCACGUACAAUAAUGUUGUUAAUGUGUCUCUAUAUGCAUUUUAGGCUGUUUUGAAUUCUUGGGAAGACGACUCUUGCGUCAAGAUACUCACCCACUGCAAGCGUGCGAUUCCGGCCGGAGGUAAGCUAAUCAUCAUCAAUACGGUGAUCGGGCUAGGGAUAUCAUCGAACAGAAAAGCUGUCAAGGAGGCGCAAGUCCUGCUCGACAUGUACUUUAUGAGGGGUGCUGGAUUUGAGCGAGAGGAACAUGAAUGGCGAAGAGUUUUCCUUAAGGCUGGAUUCAGCGGUUACAAAAUCACGCCCAUAUUGGAUCCAGUGUCUAUCAUUGAGGUUUUUCCAUGAAGAACAAUGUUAAUGAAUAUAUAGUCAUUAAAUUCCUUGAUUGCUAGCUAUAAGAGUUAAGAGUCAGAUCAAAGUCGUCGGAGGUUUAGUCCCGUAGAAGGUUUCCCUGCCGACGCACGAUCUAUUUAAUGUUUCGUUUAUCUACUGAAAUUUGUAUACUGGUUGUAAUGUUUCUUUUAAUGCUUGAGUAUUUCAUUCAACAUUCUGCCUUCCCAUCAUGCAUGAUGUAUACUAGUUUUGUAUUAAACUUCUGUUAACGAGCUCAUGCAAACAUGUUUCUCCUAGUUCAACGAGAUCUACCCCAUCUGCACCGUGGACAAAACCUUCAGAAAUCCAUCUGUGCACUAGCUAGUCGUUCCCGUUCAAUCUCAUACUCUUCAGGAAACAUAGUCACGUACAAUAGGCAACUUCGUAGACGAAGGGGAUGGUCAAAAUAGCUCAGAGACAAUAUGUAGUUCAUGGCAUCCAUCUCCGAACAUUUGUGUUGUGCAAAUCCAAUAGAAGUUCGAACAAGAUCCCACUCUUCUUUUGUUUUCCCAGUAGCUAGCAAGCUAGAUAUCGAACUGAUGGCCAGUGGUAAACCACCAUAUUUUUCUAAGAUGUGCUCUGUGGCUUGUUUAAAUAUAGGAGGAACUUUUCUUCUGAACCAAAUAUAUAUUCUCUUGAAAAAUAACUUCUUCGAGUGGGUCUGUGUGUGUGCGCGUGCGCUCGUGUGGGUGUGUGCGUGUGGGCGCGGCGCGGGCAGAGGCGGCGCAGGCGAGCGGCUGGCGGCGCGGGGCAGCGGGUCGCGCGGGCAGCGCGGGCGGCGCGGAGGCGGCGCGGGGGCGGCGCGCGGGCGGAGCGGGGUGGCGCAGGCGGCGGCGCGGGCACAGACAGCGCGCGGAGGGCGGCGGGCGGCGCGGCGCACGGGUCGGCACGCGGGGCGGCGCGGGGGUGCGGCCCGGCGGAGCGGGAGGCGGAGGCGGCGCGCGGACGGCGGAGCACGGGCGGCGGGCGGCGGCCGGCGCCGAGGAAGACGGCGGACGGAGGCGCAGAGCUCCAAAUCGCGGCCGGCUCGCGUCACAGCGUGCGCAAGGAAGGGAGGAGGAAGACUAGGGGGUCGGCGCGGGCGGAGACUCACCGAAAUGGCAACGAAAACGGGAAGAAUGGCGGUGGCAGCAACGAACUCCGGCGAGCAAUUACUUUCUAACCGGUGCGAAAUUGAACGUGGGGUUUGGGGGAAGUGGAGGAGAUAAGCGACGGCUUCGGGAUGACGCGCAAGGAUUUGGAGAAAACGGCUCGAGCGCGAAGAAAGCGGAGGUGGAGUCGUGGGCAGUUCGCGGGCGUGCGUGGCCGGAUUUUUCGGACGAAGGUUGAAGAUAACGCGUGGGUCCCACCGGUCAGUGAGAGCGGGCGGCUCGGGCUGGGCGGAGCCGGUCCGGUUCGGUCCGGUCCCGGUCCGGUUUGACCGGUUCGGUCCGGUUCGGCCGGUUCGGCCGGUUUUCCUCGGUUUUUCCUUUUCUUUUAUCUAUUUUCUGUUUUUGAACCUCAAAAUUGAUUCGGAGCUCCAAAUCACUCCAAAUAAAAAGCAACAAAAUUUGUAAAAUCAUAUUUUUAUAUGAUCUAACUUUUGGAGCAAGAAUUUCCUCAAAAUAAAAUAAUAAAAAAAACAUUUGCCUAUAAAAUGGCUUUUAGGCCCCUUAGGCUAUCGAAACAAAUUAUCUUUCAAAAUACUUUCAAAAGCCAAUCUAUGGGAUAGCUUUAUAUAUGCAUUAAAUCCCUUUUUACCACAAUACCCUCAUGGGUUAAAAAUGCAAAUAGUCAAGAGUAAGAUCAAAGCCCAAAGUCAAAUAAAGGCAUUUUUGCAAAAAGGUUUUCUGGGCAAACUUUAGGGUUUUGAAAGUGAUCAAAUGCAAGGGUGACAUGAUGCUUAUGAUAUGCAAUGCAUAUGAAGAAUUUGAAAAUUGGGAUGUUACACCGGACCCCGUGUACAUCCACGCGGGGCGGGAGCGCAGUUGUAGCGGCGCGACGCGCCGGCUGAUGAAGCUGCGCGUCACAUCGAGGUCGGUGAGCCCCGCUAGCCGCAGGGCCUUGAUCUUCUCCACGAUGGGGAGGAGAUCGGCGUCGCGCUGGUACCGGUCCCGCCAGCCGCCGUUGGGUUGCGACAGCUCGGUGGGCGCCUAGAUGAACUCCUCGGGGUCUUCCACGCGGACCGAGCACCAGUCGCCCCGCCACUCCUUCUCGAUCUUCUUCUCCGACCGGACGAUGAACUCGGACUUCAACCGGUCCUGGCGCGGAACACCACCCCCGACGACAUCGUCUUCGCGUUAUCGAUGCGGGGGUAGAAGUAGUGCCGGAAUAACGCCACCGAUGGCCUUACUCCGACGAACGCCUCGCAAAGGAACUGGAAGAUGGCGAGGAGAUAGAGGGAGGAGGGGUGGAGUUGCGCCACCCGCAACUGAUACGACUCCAUGAGCGCAUGGAGGAACAGGGAGAACGGCGGCACUAACCCUGCGAGGAUGAAGCACCCGAACACCCGGAAGUCGUUUUCCUGGUGGUCGGCGCCGGCGGGGAAGAUCAGGGUCUCCCCGUACUCGUUGAAACCGGAGGCAACGGCGUGCUGGAUCUUGUCCAGCGCCUCGCCGUUGUAGCCGGGCCGGAAGAAGGCGAGCGUGGCCCUCAUCACCCGCUUCUUCUGCUCUUUAUCUGCGGCGGCCUUGGUGGCCGCCUAGCUCUUGCUGGCCGCCGGCUUCUUUGGGGCCUUCCCUUCCUUUCCUUUUCUGGUUGUGGGGGGCGCCAUGGGGAGCGUGGGCGGAAGCUGACACAAUGAAGCACUUUUUUAUACACUUUUCCAAAUACUUUUCCCAACAAAAUUGUAAUCAGUGAUUAUUAUUGUCGGAACUGACGUCGUUUUUAGCAAAACGUCUUUGUGUCUUUUUCACGCAGGAAAUCAUCGAAAUAAAUAAAGAUCAAAUACAAGAGGUAUUUUUUGGCGAAAAGAAGUAGAACGGGAUCACUAGAGCAAGGCAAGGGGCGCCAUGAGGCCCCAUGGCGCGUCCAACCUGGGUGGACAUGCCACGGGGGCCCACGGGUGCCUCGUGCACAACCUCGUCCCCCCCCCCCUCUUUCACAGACCUAUAAGUUCAUUAAAAAAAUUGACGAGCACAGUAUCAGGAGGAUGGGUCCGUGAUUCCUCCGAGCAACGUCGUGCCACCUCAUAGGUAUGGAUGGACCACACCACAUCCACCCCCAGAAUGCCAUCCCAGACGACAUGGCUGAUAUUUGCAUGUAGGAGAGACAUAUUUCUACCUAUGUAUGAAACAUAUUUCUACCUAUGUAUGAGACAUAUUUCGAGAGAGACAUGUUAACUAUUUUUUGCAUUCUUACUCGAGUUACAUUUGCAAAUAAAAAACACCGGGACUGAAAUACAUAUGCAAUAGAAAGACUGAAAUUAAAACCGACAACUUAAAAUAAGAUAAUCUAACUCUAGCCCUACGAAGAUGAAGUGCUCUUGCCCUUAGACGAUGAUGUGCUCUUUCCCUUCGACGGUGCAGUACUCUUCCCCUUGGACGAUGAAGAACUCUUACCCGUGAUGCUUGGCAUGAAGAUAUCUUCAUUGGGUUCCUCUUCUUCAAUCCAUAACAAUGGAUUUUUUCUAGCCUAUUCUAGGUAUGACUCACUCUUACCUUGACUGUGCUUCUUCCACCUUUCGUGCAACCUUGGUUAUAAAAGGAGGACCCCCGCCAACGGUCAAAGGGUUGGACCAACUCGUAGUACAACACUAGCGGUAGCCCAAAGUAGCAAAAGACACUUAGCCAAAAAUAGAGCACCCGGGGGCUCCCCCCGGCAACCUGUAAGCUCUUGUUCUUCUGUCAAUACAAGCUCAGACAAGCAGGACGUAGGGUUUUACACCUCCGGAUGGCCCGAACCUCGGUAAAAACGCGCGUUCGUGUUCAUCGUGCGUUGCCGCGCUUCACAUUGGCCCCGCCGGCGAUCGCCGGAGCAAUCCCCGUCGUCCACUGCCGAAACAAAAAGGGGGUGCUCACGCAUCCCCGGUGUCAAAGCCCCGUGCUACGACACCUGGGGGUCAUGGACAAAGGGGCCGUGCUCGCAUGCUUCAGAUCCAGUCGUCCGGCCGGACGCAGCUAUGCAGCCCAUCACGAGCUGCUGGCGUAGGGACUUCGAGACCAUGGGAGAGAGAAAAGGCACAGAAGACACUUCGCCAAAAAGAGAGCACCCGGGGGCUCCCCCCGGCAACCUGUAAGCUCUUGUUCUUCUAUCAAUACAAGCUCAGACAAGCAGGACGUAGGGUUUUACACCUCUGGGUGGCCCGAUCCUGGGUAAAAACGCGCGUUCGUGUUCAUCGUGCGUUGCCGCGCUUCACAUUGGCCCUGCCGGCGAUCGCUGGAGCGAUCCCCGUCGCCCACUACCGAAAAAAAAGGGGGUGCUCACGCAUCACCGGUGCCAAAGCCCCGUGCUACGACAUCUGGCGUGCCAGAUAGGGGGCGUGUGAGGAGAGCUCGCCGGUGACCGCCGGCGGCGACGUCUACACCAACAUCGGCCUCGUCUUCCUCGGCGACAGAGCCAGCCGCCAUGCCCCCCAAGUGGGCUGGCGACUCCAGGAUCGACCCGCGUGCGGCCCCAGCGGCACACACGCGGUCGCACGAUGUGCCACGCGCGUCGCAGGAGCAGGGUGACCCUGAACCUGCCCGAGCACCGCGACCGCAGUCGCCGCUGCCGUCGGCUGACAAUCGGCCGAGGGGGCCGGUGGCUCCCAGCGCCGGAGCCCGCCGCGCGAGCGGCUCUAACACCACCCGCGCCCUGCAGCGGGCCAACUCGCGGGGCGACGACCCAUAGGAGCAGCAGCCGCGCGAGGAGCACGGUGCGUCGCGGGCAAUGCCGACCCCCUCGCGCCCGACUCACCCGAGGGCGCCGGGGGACAGGGUGGGGGGCAGCCGCUCGAACAACCGGCAGCGUCCCGCACAAACCCCGAUGGAGGCCAUCAUCGCCGUGCGCGUCAUGGUGCGUUAUUAGCCGCCACAGGGCAUGCCGGAGCACGACGUUUGGAGUGCGGAGCUGGAGGUGCUCUUGGCACUCGCCGCCCAGCAGCCGCUAGGCGAGGGCGCCCCGGCUGGCUCAAGACGGGGACAGAAACCGGGACAUGGAGGUGCGCCUCGCAUCUCGGGGCAAGGAGAGAACCCUCCCCCGCAGGGAGGGCCGGGAGGCGGGGACCCGGAUGGGUCCUCGGACUCAUCACCCACCAUCACACGAGGUGACGCGCGCGACAUCUUGAAUGCCCGCCAGCAGGAGGACCUGCGCCCGCGCCUGGAGCACCGGCGCCGGCACGCCGUGGAGCGCCUGGGCCCGCAGGAGCAGGAGGAUUCUCCUAUGGGCCCCGAGGACGGCGGCACCGCGUUCACGCGCGAGCUGCGGCGGGUGACAUGGCCUCGCAAGUUCCGAGCGCUCGCGCUCGGUACGUACAAUGGGACCGUGAAUCCCAAAGAUUUCCUCCUGACGUACACAUUUGGGAUGCAUGCCAUCGGCGCCGACGACAAGGUCAGAGCCAACUAGUUCCCGAUGGUCCUUAAGGGGUCAGCGAGGACCUGGGUGCUCAACCUGCCCACUGGGUCCUUCGACACUUGGGCGGACCCGCGAGCAGUUCGUGAGCGCGUUCCAGGGCGGCUGCAUGCCUAGGAACCAUGGCGCAGCUGCACAGCGUGGUGCAGAAGCCGGGAGAGACGUUGCGGAGCUUCGUCAACCGCUUCUCCAACCUCUCCUACUCCAUCUCGGAGGCAGAGGCUGCCGCCAUCAUCAACACCUUCACCAUCAACGUCCGCGCCCCCAAGAUGCGCGAGAAGCUGAGCACGCAUCGGAUCUGGACGACGCAGGAUUUGUACGCCCUGGCGCACAAGUGUGCCAUGGCAGAGGAAGGGCGCUUGGCGCCCGAGCUUGCGGCUAAGGCUGCCGCGAGCCCAGGUGAGGGCUCGCCGAAGAAGAGCUCCUGCAAGCGCUGCGGGAAACAAGUCCUCGCUGCGGAGUCGGGCGCAACCACGAGGCCCACAAAGAAGGCCUCGUCCGGUGGCGGGUCUGACGGCAAGCAGGGCGACGCGUCCCGCUGGCCCAUCCACGCCAACGCUACCCAUGAUGCACAGGACUGCCACGUCCUGCAGGGUAUCAAGCAGCGGCGCGAGUAGCGCCAUGAGGAGCGCCGAGCAGCCGGCGCCUGUUUGAAACACCGCGACAUCAGGCAUCUCUCCCGAGAUUGCCUGAACGACCCCAGAGCGGGGCCGAAGCCUGCCGGCGGCGAUGCCGACAAGGAGGAAGCCCAGGGGGGACGCGGCCAGGCCCGUGCUGGCAGGGAGCGCCCUCCCCGAGGACAAGACAGGGCUCGCGCAGAAGAGCAGCGCGAGUCCGACUGCACCGGGGGUGACGAGCCGGGCUUCCAGGAGCCCCGCGGCGUCGCCUGCAUCCAUGGAGGAGCUUACACUCUCUCAUCUCACGCCGCGGUGAAGCGCCUCACCCGGGAGGUGUGUGCGUUGUUGCUGGAUGCGAAGCCGUAGCAGCUGCUGAAGUGGUCGCACGUGCCGAUCACCUUCAGCGCCGAUGAUCACCCAGCGCGACAGCUGGGUUCAGGGGUCAUACCCUUCGUGGUCUCACCGAUCAUCAACAACAUGAUGGUGACCAAGGUGCUGGUGAACAACGGAGGGGGGCUGAACCUCCUGUCUGCUAGGCUAGUGGAGAAACUCCAGUUGCCGGUGGAGCAGCUGAAUCCCACUGACCCGUUCCAGGGAGUAAACCCCAGGAUCGUGCGCCCCUUGGGGCGCAUCACGCUGCCGGUGACCUUCGGGUCCCGAGAAACGUUCAGGACCGAGCACGUAGUGUUUGACGUCGCGCACACCCCGUUGCCCUACAACAGGAUCCUUGGUCGGCCGGCGCUGAUCAAGUUCAUGGCGGCGACUCAUGUGCCUACGGCACGAUGAAGAUGCCGUCCGUGUACAGAGUCCUCUCCAUCAGGUGCGACCUCAAGGAUGUGGCCUGGUGCGUCGGCGAGGUCGUUAGGGUCGCCGCCGCAGCCGACGCCGGUGACGACGACGUUGCCGGGAGUGAAGGAUCGUCGGGCGAUGGCCCGGCAACUAAAAAGGCCCGCGUUGCCCCGCAAGAGCUUGCCAGGGGAAGCGCCCCUGCAAGGGCCAGAAGCUCAAGGAGGAGGCUGCCAAGGUGAAGAAGCUGCCCCUCCAAGACGGUAAUAAGGAGCGCAUCAUCACCGUCGGUGCAAACCUCACUGCCGAAUAGGAAAGCGCCCUCGUCACUUUCCUCCAGGAGAACGCCAAUGUGUUUGCUUGGGAACCAUCGGAUCUCCCUGGAGUCCCUAGGGAGUUGAUUGAGCAUCGACUCACGGUGCGCCCAGACGCCCGCCCCAUCAAGCAGAAGAUCCGCCGGCACGCGCAGGACCGCAAAGAUUUCAUCAAGCAAGAACUGGACAAGCUCAAAGCUGCGGGGGCUAUCAGGGAAGUACUGUACCCCACUUGGUUAGCUAAUCCUGUUGUAGUGCCCAAGGGGGAAAAUAGACUACGCAUGUGUGUAAAUUUUACUGAUCUUAACCGUGCGUGUCCAAAAGAUCCUUUCCCUAUACCUCGCAUUGACCAAAUAGUAGAUUCCACUGCCGGUUGCGACUUGCUGAGCUUUUUAGAUGCGUUUUCCGGCUACCAUAAAAUUAAGAUGGCAGUCGAAGACGAGGAGAAAACAGCGUUCAUCACCUCGGUUGGCUGCUACUGCUACACGUGCAUUCCUUUCGGGUUGAAGAACGCGGGCUCAACAUUCCAGCGUGCGUUGCGCGAGUGUUUGGGACCCCAGCUAGGCCGAAACGUAGAGGCCUACAUGGAUGAUAUCGUCAUCAAGUCGAAGCGCGGGGACUCGCUGAUUGAUGACUUGCGGGAGACGUUUGAUAACCUCCGCAGGAUCAAACUCAAGCUGAACCCUGAGAAGUGCACCUUUGGUUUCUUGGUUUCUUGGUUUCGCACAAGUGGAUUCAAGCCAAUCCAAAGAAGAUAGAAGCUAUCGAGAAAAUGGAGGCUCCCCGCAAGGUGAAGGACGUCAAGUGCCUCAACGGCUGCGUUGUCGCGCUGGACCGCUUCAUCUCAAGGUUGGGCGAACGCGCCCUACCUUUCUUCAAGAUAAUGAAGAAGAAGGGCCUGAUAGAUUGGACCCCCGAGGCCGAAGCGGCGUUCCAGGAUCUCAAGCAGUACCUGAAAUCGCCACCCGUCCUCGUCGCCCCCAAGCCGGGCGAGUCGCUGCUACUCUACCUAUCGGUGACUGACCAAGUGGUCAGCUCGGUGCUGGUUGCCGAGAGAGAGAAGGACAUCCCGGGAGCUGAGGUCGCGGGGCAGGGGGCUGAGCCGCCCCCGGCAACCGCCUCGGACGCAGGGACCGCCCUCGAGCCGGCAGCGUCGGCACCACGCAAGCGGCUCGUGCAGCACCCGGUGUACUUCGUCAGCACGGUGCUGCGCGACGCCCGCACAAGGUAUCCGCAGGUGCAAAAGCUCCUGCUGGGGAUUCUGCUUGCGUCACGCAAGCUGCGUCACUCCUUCUAGGCGCACCGCGUCACGGUGGUGUCGGGAUUCUGCCUCGAGCGAGCCCCCACCAACCGCGAAGCCACUGGGAGGGUGGCCGAGUGGAGGAUGGAGCUGUCGGAGUUUGGUCUGCACUUCACCAACACCAAGAGCAUCAAGAGUACGGCCCUGGCGGAUUUCGUCACAGAAUGGACUUCGGCGAGCAUAGAAGAGGAGGAGCCGGAGACCAGCCUGCCGGGCAAGUUGGACGAAGGCCACUGGAUCCUGUACUUCGACGGCGCGUUCAGCCUCCAGGGAGCCGGCGCUGGGGUUGUCAUCGAGUCACUGACGGGGGAUCAGUUGAGGUUUGCCAACCAACUCGAUUUCCCCAACUCCCCUAACAACACGACAGAGUAUGAAGGGCUGCUCGCCGGGUUGCGGGCGGCAGUCGCUCUGGAUAUCAAGCGCCUGGUCAUUCGUGGAGACUCGCAACUCGUGAUCAACCAGGUCAACAAAGACUACGACUGCCCGCAGAUGGCAGCGUAUGCGGAUGAAGUCCGCAAGCUAGAACGCAAGUUCAAGGGCCUGCGGUUUGAGCACGUCAAGCGGAAGGAUAACUUCGCGGCUGACGAGCUGUCCAAGUUGGCAGCGGAGCGCCGAAAGGUUCCGGCAGGGGUGUUCUUGCACAGGCAGACUGCGCUUUCAGUCGCCCCCAAGCCGGAUGCUGGGGAAGCCCCCCCGGCAACCGAAGGAAACCCCGCAGUAGCGCAGGCCCAUGCCGCCGACGUAGCGGCAUGUGUUGGCAGGGAGACCCCACCUUGGGCGGUCGAUAUCGCCCGCUACCUGAAGGGAGGAGCCCUCCCGGAAGAUGAUGUUGCCGCGAAGCGCGUGGCCCGGGAAGUCAAGAUGUACGCCGUGGGGGACGGCAACCUCUACCGAAGGCGUGCGAAUGGAGUCAAGCUCCUCUACGUGUCCCGGGACGAGGGGCGCGCGCUACUGGAGGAGAUACACCGAGGCACAUGCUCCCACCAUGUAGCCUCCCGGGCCCUGGCCGGCAAGGCGUUUCAGCAUGGCUUCUACUAGCCCACGGCCCUAGUCGACGGGGAGCAGCUGGUGUAGACGUGUGAGGCGUGUCAGUUCCAUGCGAAGAAGAGCAACCAGCUAAUGCAGGCCUUGCAAGUCAUUCCGUCCUCUUGGACAUUCGCGGUAUGGGGGCUGGAUAUCGUCGGUAAGAUGUCGAGAGCGGUUGGCGGCUACGAGUACCUGCUCGUGACCAUCGACAAGUUCUCCAAGUGGGUGGAAGUAGAACCAGUGCGGAAGGUGACCGCCCAGGUGGCCAUCAAGUUCUUCAAGAGCAUUGUGUGCCGGUUCGGUGUGCCUAACAGCAUCAUCACCGACAACGGCACGCAAUUCACGAGCGCGGUGUUCUAGGCCUACUGCGAGGGCAUGGGCACCAAGAUCCACUUCGCGUCUGUUGCUCACCCAAGGAGGAACAGGCAGGCGGAGCGAGCCAACGCAGAAGUGCUGCGGGGGCUCAAGACGCGAACCUUUGACAAGCCCAAAGGCCACGGGGAGCACUGGGUCGAAGAACUCCAGCCCAUGCUGUGGUCAAUCAGGACCACACCUAGUCGGGCAACGGGCGAGACUUCUUUCGCCCUUGUCUACGGGGCAGAAGCGGUGCUGCCCCUCGAGCUCAAGCACGAAUCUCCCCGAGUACGUGCGUACGGUGAAUCCAGCCAACACGAGCAGACGGUUGACGAUCUGAACUUCAUCGAACAAUUUCGAUGCCGGGCUGUUGUGCUAGCUGCGCGCUACCAGCAGGGACUCCGCCGUUAUUACAACAGGCGGGUCCGUUCCCGGGAGCUCGAGACCGGAGACCUUGUCCUGCACCGGAUACAGGGAACGAAGGCCGGGAACAAGCUGGCUCCGAAAUGGGAGGGCCCCUUCCGGGUAGUGCAGGUGACCAGGCCGGGGGCUGUCCGACUGGAAACCGAAGAAGGCUUGCCGGUGCAAAAUAGCUGGAACAUUGAGCACUUGCGCAAGUUCUACGUGUGAAGCGGCGGAGCCCAACCCACAGGUGAUGCCACCGAAGCAUGCCUCUCGAACUAGUGUAGCCGGGCAACCCCCGAUUGUAAACCACUAGUUGCUAUGAAUGAAGAUAAGUGUUGUUUCCUGAAUUUCAAGUUGCCUCAAUUAUUUGCGUGUUUCUCCUCCUUCUGUCUCCUGCUAUAGGUGCACAGAAGUCUCUUUCCAUACUUGGUUGUGAGCAGGGGGUGCCGGAGCCUCGAAAACGAUAACCCGUUGUCGGAUCACUCCGGCACGGGGCAUGCAGUUGCCGGGCUCGCCGCAAUGUGCAACGCUGUGUCUUAGAAUGUAAGAGUGCUCACAUCCAAGUUUGGCAUCGACCCUUCUGUGCCCGAGGGCUGGGAGGUAGGAGAGCUAUCCAUGUUGCUAUGUGUUUUCGCGAAUUUCGAAAAAAAAUUGCAGCAUCUCAGGCUUGGUAAGAAUCUGACAUGCAGGGUAAAGGUGGAAUCCGGCGCACUGUAACGCUCGUGGACCGUCCCCGGGCUGUGGCAUUUAGUGGCACCCUGUGGUGUGGAGUGACCGCACUACAAGGGUCUCGCCGCACUUCGAGGCCCCUGCUUCAGGAGAGAGCCGCCACGUGUGCCGCGGUGACUUGGCAUGCAUGGUGGCGAGGACCCUGCCGCACUUCAAGGGGGUGUGGCGCCACGUGUGCCGUGGUGACCCGGCGCGCGUGGUGGCAAGCACCUCCCCCGCGCUUAUAAAAGGGCGUGCCGGCCAUGGAGCAGCUCAGAGCAGAGCCAAGGAAGAGGCUGCAAAGGCGAGAGGUGCCGCAGAGGCGCGAUGGCGGUGCAUGCCAUCAGCGCUCUGUGCUGACGGGUGCACGGCCAUCGCGUCCUUGUCGCACCCGUCCAACGAGCCCACGCUGAGGGGCGCCGCGGAGACACGAUGGGGGUGCAUUCCACCAGCGCUCGGCGCCGACGGGUGCACUGCCACCGUGUCCUUGCCACGCCUCCUCCACCAAGCGGCUCCGGGGUGAGGGUUGCCGCAGAGGCACUAUGGUGGUGCAUCCCAUCAGCGCUCAGCGCCGACGGGCGCACUACCACAGUGUCCCUGCCCCAUCCCUCCAGAGGGCGUCCCCAAAAACAGACUCCUCCAAAGGCGAAGGUUGCCUCGGAGACGCUGCGGUUGCGCCGCCACCUGUGCUUGGCACCGGCGGUGGCCCCGCCACAGCGUUCCUGCUGCAUCCUUCAACCAGGCAUCCCCAAGGACGAGGGUUGCCACGGGGACGUUGUGGUGGCGCAGCCACCGGUGCUCGGUGCCGGCGGCUGCCCAACCACAGCAUCCCUGCCGCAUCCCUCAAACAGGCUCUCCCAGGGGCGAGGGUUGCCGCGAAGGCGCUGUGGUGGCAGCGCCCCCCGACAGCGUUCCUGCCGCACCCCUCCGGCAAGCGUACCGAGCACAGGGACGAAUGAAAAGCUAAGUGCAUAAACUUGAACGAUAAACUGUCUAAAACUAAACGUUGCCUCGCUAGCAUGGCCCAAACCCUGUGUGUGGCUAGGGUGUUGAAAGGACGCUUGCGGGGGGAGUGCGCUCCUCGUGCGGCUGGGGGUUCCGUCCCGGGAGCGCAUGCUUGGGAGUAGCUAUCCCGCAAGCGGAGUGGCUCGUCGCCGCUACUUGGCCCCAGGUCGGCACAGCGGGUUCGUCCCGGGUCCCUGGUCCGGUUGAGUGCGUGGCGCGCGAGUCCCCGGCAACACAAGGCAUAACACACAAAGGCUAAGGGAUCCACCCCGCGAGGCAACCCCGGGAACAAGAAACAAGAAUUAAGCGGAACCAGAGAACUAAAUUAAUGAAAGCAGUGAACAGUUGCAUGGACCAAUAAGGCAUUAAUUGUUUAAACGGCGCCAGGCGCCACACUUGCAGGGAACAAAAGCAAAGGAAAACACACUAAGGAACGACGAGGGCCAGCGAGGGGCUGUGGCGGCUUCCACUGGAGGCUGCGGCGACUAGUUGCCGGCGCCCUCCGCCGGGGGCUCCGGCACCGGCUCGGGGUCCGGCUUCCACUGCAUCCGCUCAACCACUUCGUUGACGAACCCGCUCACGCCUGGCAACGGGUGGGGGCAUCCUCGCUGUCCGACCAAGCGUCCAGCAGCGUCUCGAAGGGGAACUCAGGGUGCUGGAGGUGCACCCUCGGAAGGAUCAUCCUGGCAACCUCCCGGGCGCAAUUGGCGAUCUCCUCGUUGCAGAACUUGGAGAUCCACACAUCGAGCGCCGCGAGUUUCCCCACCAAGUCGGAGAAGAACGGGAUCAGCGUGGUGACGUCCGUCCCAUCCACCCGUGCGACCUGCAGCUCGAACCGCGGCAGCUUCUUGGUCUCCAGCUCCCGCUACCCGAUCAGCGUGCUAUGGUUGGUCCGAGCCACAUGCACAGCGUGCUUGGCCUUGCAGAGGAGGCUCGCCUGCGCCGAGAGUUGUGCGGCCUUGGCCACAUUAUCCUCGCCCGCCUUGACGAGCUCCUCUCGGACGGUGGCCCGCUCGGUCUCGAGUCGGGCCCUCCUAUCCUUGGCAAAGUUGAGCUCUACUUCCUACCGUGCUGCCGUUGCUACCGCGUCUUCCGUAGCCUUUGUCUGCACCUCUAGCUUGACGCGCAGGCCCUGGAUCUGAUCGAGGUAGCUGCUGAUUAGGUCGCUCUUCUCGUCGAUGCGAGCCUGAGCCACGGCGAGCACCUCCGUGUGCUCCUUCUUGGAUUUCGCAUGCGCCGCCACCAGCGAGUCCAGGGCUUCUUGGUGCUCAGCGUGCUGAGCCUCCAGCUGCCGGUAGAGCUCCUCCUCGAGGACGAUCGGCGCGGCGGCCUCAUCCUGGGCUUCCCGGGCGAGGCGUGCCUCCUCCCGCAGCCGUGAGAGUUCCUGCCGCUCCCUCUCCACGGCCAGUCGCACCUCGCCGAGCUGACUCUUGGCGAUCUCGUGGUGCUCCUUCACCUUGUUGAAGGAGGUGACGAAGGCCAGCUGCUGGUCUUUGACAGCAUCAAGGAGCCGGUGCCCCCUGUCAAAAACGCUCGGGUCCUAAGUGAUGGGAUUCCAAGCCACCCCGGCGAGGGUGCCGAGGUCCGUGCUGGAGGUGGUGGCCGCCGACGAUGAAGCGCCUGCCGCCACUGUCUGGCCAGGCAGGGGGUUGUCCGCUUGCGGCGGAGCGUCCUGUUGCUCCUCCGCUCCAGCCUCCCCCGCACCCGCGCCUGAGGGUUGCGGGGCUGGUGGGGUUGCCGCGCCCCCAGUAGGGGCCGCCUCCUGCUGGUUGGGCGAAGAGUCCAUGCCGGCGACCUCUGUGGCUGCUGGCGCGUCGCCGAGCGCCGCUUCGGUGGCGGCGGUGGUUGCCGCCACUGUUGCGCCACCCGCAACUGAUAGGACUCCAUGAGCGCAUGGAGGAACAGGGAGAACGGCGGCACUAACCCUGCGAGGAUGAAGCGCCCAAACACCCGGAAGUCGUUUUCCUGGUGGUCGGCACCGGCGGGGAAGAUCAGGGUCUCCCCGUACUCGUUGAACCCGGAGGCAACGGCGUGCUGGAUCUUGUCCAGCUUCUUUGGGGCCUUCCCUUCCUUUCCUUUUCUGGUUGUGGGGGGCGCCAUGGGGAGCGUGGGCGGAAGUUGGCAAGGUUCAUGGGCGCAAGGAACGGGAAGACAGAGGAGAAAGGCUGGGGGGCUAAGUGUUUGUCCCUUGGCGCAGGAGUGGGCCCUUAUAGCACCCCGCUGCUCAGUAACGGUCGCAUCCGCACCCUACGGGUGCACUGGGAUAAUUACGAAUCGUGGGGAUAAUGCGAAGAGUGGCCUUAACUUCUCGUGUUUAAGGGGGAGGUUACGGCAGAAAUCUUGUACCCACUAUUCUGUUCGUAACGGCAGGGUCCUUGGGACGACGGAGAGACGCGGGCUCGAAACGACUCGUGAUCCACACGUCGGUUGCGGGCGUAGCCGGCAACCGGCCAAGGAGGAGUCUGCCCGGGAACAGGCGUUGCCGGCCCACGCCCGGGGGCUACUGUCGCACCAGUGGCACCCGGGGUAGCACCGCUACACGACACGUGGGUCGCUUUGCUUGCUCCCCGGGAGGAUCACACCACGGGCGGCAGUGUACAAGCUGCCCGGCAAGCUACCAGCCCGGCAGGGCUAGCGGGGCUUCGGGGGAGAAUUCCCGCCGGGGUGCCUCCCGGGAAGCUACUUGCCGGAGGGGCAUUCCCGGGCGCAGGUUUCCGUUGCAAGAGCGGGACCGAGCAAGCAGAACAGCGACGCCACGUGGGCGCGCGGCAGGCACCCUGUGCGCAGGGUUCGUCAGGACAAGGAGUGAGGCGCACGACGCAUUUAAUGAACCGACAGAAAGGGGAUUCCCCGUCAAGUCAAGCAAACAGUGACUGCUCAAGAGUAGUUUUUAGGCCUUUAGACCCCUAGUUACAGGGCUAGUAUUCUUGCAUGUAUGCCAGCACACCGAGGAGGAGCUGCCCGAGCUCCCUGCUCGCCACUUGUAAACCAUGCAUCCUGGCACCUGUGGUAUCCCCUUGGUUAUAAAAGGAGGACCCCCGCCAACGGUCAAAGGGUUGGACCAACUCGUAGUACAACACUAGCGGUAGCCCAAAGUAGCAAAAGACACUUAGCCAAAAAUAGAGCACCUGGGGGCUCCCCCCGGCAACCUGUAAGCUCUUGUUCUUCUGUCAAUACAAGCUCAGACAAGCAGGACGUAGGGUUUUACACCUCCGGGUGGCCCAAACUUGGGUAAAAACGCGCGUUCGUGUUCAUCGUGCGUUGCCGCGCUUCACAUUGGCCCCGCCGGCGAUCGCCGGAGCGAUCCCCGUCGCCCACUGCCGAACCAAAAAGGGGGUGCUCACGCAUCCCCGGUGUCAAAGCCCCGUGCAACGACACCUGGGGGUCAUGGACAAAGGGGCCGUGCUCGCAUGCUUCAGAUCCAGUCGUCCGGCCGGACGCAGCUAUGCAGCCCACCACGAGCUACUGGCGUAGGGACUUCGAGACCAUGGGAGAGAGAAAAGGCACAGAAGAAGAGUUCGGAGAGAGAGAGGGAGAGAGAGAGAGAUUUCGGCAGAAGAGCGGAGCGAGAGAGAGUGGCACAGAGAGAUCGGGAGAGAUGCACAGAGAAGCAGGGGGCACGAGAGCAGGGUUGGCCGCACCUCAUGAGCUCAGGGCGGCUCCGUCCCACGGCGGCGGGCUGGUAGCCACAGGUGGGCGGCGGCGAUGCGCAGAGUUGGGCGGCGACCCAGGUUCGGGCAGGGGAGUUUCCAGCGGCGGCUCAGGAUAAGUAGGUUCCUUCGGACGAAGGAUAUCUACGCCACCGGUGGCCGGAGUUCUGCCGGAGGAGUGGCGGCGGCUGGAGAUCAGGGAGGCAGAGGCGCACGGCCGUAGGGUAGCAGGAAGUCGGGUAGAUUUGGGGCAGGGUAGGUGUUCAGGGCAGAAGAAUGAAAUGAACGAACUAUUUUGUGGCAUUUAGUACGUUAUAUGUGCUUUGGUGGGAGGGUAUUCUGAUAAAUGGUCCGUUUGGAGCUGCAGCUGGCUGGAAGAUGGCUAUUUUUUUUUAAAUAAUACGAUUUUUUUUAAUCAUUUUCGAAAAUAAUACGCGUUUUUCAAAAAUUUCAGACCGACCAGGGCCGACUGGAGCCGACCGGGGGCGGGCCCUCUCCUUUACCUUUUUCUCUAUUCCUUCUCUCCUCCUUCCCUUCUUCCUCCCCAGCCCGAGCAGCCCAACGCCCAGCCCCCUGCGCCCGUGCCCCUUCUGUUCUUCUUCUUCCUCAAAAAUGCCCCCAAUUUCUAGGCAAAAUUAGUGAGUUUUGUUCCCGUUUAACCCACAAAACGGCAUCCCCUUACUAUUUAGCACCCAAUGACACAUUGAUCUACUGUUUUCGUAGAACAUGUAGAGCUAAUUUCGUGUUGCUAAGUUGGGGCAAUGGUGGUGGUUUGGAGGGGUUUGGAGGUGGUGGUGGUGCUCAUCCGGUGAGGCUGCUCGAGGUCGGGGUUCACACGCUUCAAGGGUAAAUCCUAAUCUCUCACAUAUUUAUCCUAUAAUGUAUAUGUUUAUGAGGGUACGUGUUAGUUUUAUAUAUAGCAGUAUGUUUUAGGGUUUGGUACUGCUCAUUAUUUUGUACAACGGUUAAUGUCGUACUGCUUAGUAUUUGAUGCGUCUAAAUAUUAUGGCCGGUAGAAAUAUGUUUUGAUAGACUAGAUUUUUUUUAUGCCGUAUUGUUUAGUAUUUGACGUGUAUUAAUAUUUUUAAUCUGACGUACUGCUUAGUAUUUGACGCGUCUAAAUAUUAUGGCCGGUAGUAAUAUGUUUUGAUAAGCUAGAUUUUUUUUUAUGACGUACUAUUUAGUAUUUGACGCUAAUCUGCCGUACUGUUUAUUAUUUGACGCGUAUUAAUAUUUUUAAUAUGCCGUACUGCUUAGUAUUUGACGCGUCUAAACAUUUUUUUAGGCAUCAGAGAUGUCCGGUGUAGUGAAGUUUGUUUUUUACUACGGUUCCGGUACUGUCUUAACAACUGAGCACGGAGCUGAUCUGAGUCCGUUUAAGUGUGUGGAGUUGGAUCUAACGGCCCCUCAAACAUGGACCUUUAGUCAGUUGCAGGAAGGCGAGGGUUUGUCCAAUGCAAACUCUAUGUCGAAUGCUGGAGGUGGUGGUUAUGAAUCAGGCCAGAGCUCUAGGGCAGUAGGAGAGGAUGAGUACACUGGCGAGGCAGAUGCGGACAAAGAAGAUGGUCACUUGCAGAACCAGAUGGAGGAUGAAGAUACAGAUGGUCGUAGUUCUUAUGACGAUGAGUCUCAUGAGUCGGACGAAGAGGAGGUGCCGAUUCCUGCAUCAUUUAUAUUUCUAUCUAUGGUGUUCAUUACCAUGACUGCUACACAAUUGUUCGCUAAUUACUUUCCCGCAUGCAGGAGCCUACGGGCAUCAGUCGUCGUUGUCCGAACCCUCGUGGGGUACUGAGCAAAAUCACGCUCAAGGAGAGGACUAUUCUGUCCACCACAGCUAGAUGUUCAAUACUCCGCCACCAGACCCCACACAGGAGGAUACACAGUAUCAGUAGGAUGGGUCAGUGAUUCCUCCGAGCAACGUCGUGCCACCUCAUAGGUAUGGAUGGACCACACCACAUCCACCCCCAGAAUGCCAUCCCAGACGACAUGGCUGAUAUUUGCAUGUAGGAGAGACAUAUUUCUACCUAUGUAUGAAACAUAUUUCUACCUAUGUACGAGACAUAUUUCGAGAGAGACAUGUUAACUAUUUUUCGCAUUCUUACUCGAGUUACAUUUGCAAAUAAAAAACACCGGGACUGAAAUACAUAUGCAAUAGAAAGACUGAAAUUAAAACCGACAACUUAAAAUAAGAUAACCUAACUCUAGCCCUACGAAUAUGAAGUGCUCUUGCCCUUAGACGAUGAUGUGCUCUUUCCCUUCGACGGUGCAGUACUCUUCCCCGUGGACGAUGAAGAACUCUUACCCGUGAUGCUUGGCAUGAAGAUAUCUUCAUUGGGUUCCUCUUCUUCAAUCCAUAACAAUGGAUUUUUUCUAGCCUAUUCUAGGUAUGACUCACUCUUACCAUGACUGUGCUUCUUCCACCUUUCGUGCAACCUUAGCAGUUCUUGCCGUAUCUCUGCAGAAGUCCUCAAUGGCAAUCUGCACCUUCUUAAUUGGUGGCCCAGCUCAGUUAGUAGGGUGCCACUACUAAUGAGUUCGUCCCAUGGAACUAUCCUAUUGUCUACCUUGAAAUCACCGGCUAACCACAACAGCUUCCGGGACAUACCUGGCAAAAAUCUACGAUCAUUUGGGAAGCGGGACGACAUCUUCCCAGACGAAAUGGCGAGACUACACUUCAAUACUGCGGAAGGUCUUUUAUAGUUACAGAAGAUACAAAUAGGCGGGAAUCGGUGGCGGGAAAAAUAGGCGGGAAGCGGUGGUGGGAGAACCGGGCGGGAAACGUUGGCGGGGCAACGGUGGCGGGAAAAUGAGUCGGGAAAUGCUGGCGGGAAAACCAGGCGGGAAACGGUGGCAGGAGAAUUUUUCCCACUUACUACUUUUGAGAGCCUAUAAAUACCUCUUAUCCGGUAGUCAUCCAAGCAUCCUUCCCACUACUGUUUUUUCCAAUAUUCCAGUGUCCCCCAAUGAGUUUGCCUUGCUCCGACCAGGGCGAGAGGCCGAGGAAGAUGAAAGAAGCGAUGUUGCCUCUGGGUGUGGAACAUCUCAGGUGUUGGUGCGACAAUCUAUGCAAGGUGAAGGAGGUGACAGAUUUUUCAGAUAAGUUGGGCAUGAAGUUUUUCAUGUGUGCAAACUAUGAGCAUGAUCCACCUGUCCCGGUUUCGCCGUACGACAAGCCUCCGGUAAGCACAUAUAGGUGUACUUAAACAUGUUGUGUGUGUCAUAUUCGAUUUAUUUGUAACAUUAGGCUAUUUUAUAGUCUCCUCCGCCCCUAUGCAUGUGGUAUCGUUGGAUUGACACGGAGAUGCCAGAAGGUCACGAAGUGCAUGGCAGCGUUUCCACGCGGAGGAUCGUGCGGCACAAGCUGCAGCCCAGGAGAAAGAGGAGCAAGAGAGAGAGCUCAAAGAGCAUAGGGAGGAACAACAACAUUUCUUUGAUGAGUUAAGGAGGAAAAACAGGGAGGCAGCGCACCGCAUGGAAGAGGAGGAACGAAGGUGCAAGGAGGCCCGUGAGGCGGAAAGGGAGAGGCAAAGAGAAAGGGCCGCCGUGGCAAAGGCUGUAGAAGAACGUGGCGAUAAGACUGGAAAAAUGGCCUAAGUGCACUCAGUAGUGCUUGUACUGUGUUUCAAUUGUAUUUGCUAUCUUUAAUGCUGUCCAAUUUUGGUAUUAUCGAUGUAUGUUAAUUUAGUCGUGCCUUGGUUCCGUAACCAGCACAUCAAAUUGUGGUAUUAUCGAUGUAUGUUAAUUUAUCCAAGUUGUCAAGUCUUUUAGUUCAAAAAACCGCAAGUAUUCGAGACAAAAAUUGUCCAUUGUAUGUGUUGUAAUAUAAUAAAAUCCUUACAUGGGCCGGCCAUAAUCCUACGUGGCGAAGACCAAGUCAACAAAUCCUAAAGACCGGUCAAAUUGCCAACAAGGCGUAGCCAUGCCACUAGGCACCAGUCAAAGGAGUCAACGGGUCAAGCCUCCCAUGCCAUGGUCAAAGGAGAAGAGGAGCUUGAGUAGGGGCCGAGAAAGGUGUAGGGAUGAGUUUACCACUUUGCCCUCACUUUCCCUCUCCCCCAAGGGUAGCCAUGGUCUUUUGUCAUGGACCCCUAGGCUAUAAAUACCCCCACAUGGGGGCAUGUAUCAUUCACUCUCCAUUGGAAUAAGAUCAAAAGGGAGAGGGCUAGAGCAACCUAAGGAGCCCGUUCUCGUGUGCUUGGGUCGAGUCUAGUCUCGACUCGACCUCGGGGACGCGACUUAGGAAGCCUAGUUUCGAGGUUCCGGGCCGUCUAGUACGACCUCGACUCAAAGUAGAGGAAUUAGGUUAGAGUCUCGAGGGUAUCCCAACCUCGCUACUUGGGAAGACAAGUUUGGCCCAAGUCCGAGGCAGCCCCUAGAGAUCUCUCGCCAUAGGUGAUUUGGGAAGACGAGUUCGGCCCAAACACUCGGCUAACGACCCCCUCGAAGCCUCUCCUAACAUAGGACUAAGUCGUACCCGCAGGGUCGACCGAACAUAUUCAAAAAAUAUCGACGUGUCAACUUGUCCAAGUGUACGGCGACCUUCACCAUAAGGCCGCGGUACACACCCUACAUCCUAUUCUCGCACUUGUGCCAUCGAGCAUUGGCACCCCUUACUCUUGUUGUUUUCUAGAACAACAACAGUAUGUGUAUGCAUUGAUCAUGCAACUAAGUAGCUUCGGCGAAGCGCAUUAGCUUAAUUAGUUCCAAUCGUCUUAGGCGAAACCAACUGGUCCAGUCGGCCUGGGCGAAACCAACUAGGCUUCAGUCGGCUUGGGCCAGGCCGACAGCCUCUUGUGGGACCCAGGCUCUGAGCAGCCGGCCUAAUCAGCUUCGGCCAGGCCGACUGGGCCUAAUCGGCUUGGGCCAGGCCGAGGCCGUAUUAUUUUUGAAUUUUUGAAAAACGCGUAUUAUUUUAAAAAAUGAUUAAAAAAAUCUUAUUAUUUAAAAAAAAUUAGCUGGAAGAAGCACCGAUUUUACAGCUUCUCGUCGCUAGUUCAUGUUCUAGCAGCGCUCCAAGGAAUCCACUUCUAGAAUCUAGGGCGAUAAUAGGUGUUUGUUUGGGCUCCAGCUUGUAUAGCCUGGAAGCUAUAGAAGCUGCUCCCAGGAGCACAAACAAACACACCCUAAAUAAUACAAAGAAGUUGCCAAGGGGAAAAUUAUGGUUUAAGUUCGAAUUGCACAACUAAAACAUAUGUUUGUUAACUUGUAGAAAUUUUAAAAAUUUAGGUCAGUAUGCAUGUCAUGUAGCUAACAUUUGCACAUUUUAACCAGAGAAGCUACAUACCUUUUAUCUCUUAAGAAGUUUCUGAUUUGGUAGAUGAGGAGUUGUGCAUCCCCUGCGUGAGCAUAAUCUUGGUUGCGGAGUUGAGAUAAUAUAGAACUCAAGAUCUUCGUCAUAUCGGGACUGCGUGAAAUUGAAACAAAGGCUUGACAUUCAUAAUUUGCUACAAGCUUGUCAUAGACUUGUUUGGUAAGAGUCGUUUUGCCUAAGCCCCCAUAUCCAACAAUAGAGACCACUUUUAGCUGAUGCACCAAUUUUUUGGCCUUCUCCUCAGUCAACCACUUCACAAGCUCAUCUCUCGGGCCAUCGAUGCCGACAAGCUCUUAUGCGUCUUUAUAUAACGCACAAAGUCGAGGGUCAACCUUAUUGUUUCUAGGUUUGGACGAUCCGUCAAUCUUGUACCUUCAGUUACAGAGUGAGGAAUUAGGUAUACACAAGGGGAACCAGUUAAGUGAUAAAAUUUUAUGGCAGAGUGUAUGUAUGCCGCGAAUAGUAAAACAUGGUCACAGACAAGGUAUUCAAAUACAAAGGGUUUUGGUACAAAAUUCCAGAGCAUGGGUGAAGCCAAUGCCUCAAUGGGUACCUUGCAUAUCUCUGGUUGAUCUCCUUGACCUCGCUCUUGAUAUGUUUGAAGUCUUUAGCUAUAUUAUGGCGAACCUUGAUGUAUGUUAUCUUUUUCAUGCUUUUAUAAAAAUGCUUCCCAAAGCCAUCAAACCACGAACCAGAAUCAUGAGAUUCCAUGGUUACCAUGAAUUUGUCGAUGUUGUCCUCGAUUUCGUAAGACAUCUCUCGCACAGAAACCGCUUGUAACAUCCCAAUUUUUCUAAUUUGGAUGUUAUUACCUUUUUCAUGUCACAUGCAUAUCAUUUUGACCAUAUCUGAGUUUGGAGAUGAUCUUACAAUUUAAUUGGGAGUUUAUUUGGAUCUUAAAAGUGAUUAUAUGCAUUUGUUGGAAUUUAUUUGAGUUGCAUAAGCAUUAAAAAUUUUAUAAAUUAUAUUCCAUGAGGAAACUAUUUUUCCUAGCUUCCAAACAGGUAUUUGGAAUUUCAGGAAUUGUCUAGAAUUUUUUCGAUGCCGUUAGGUAUUUUAUUUGCCUUAUUUGAUUUUCUGGCGAUAUAGAAACCCAGAAAAGCUAUUUCUUUAUUUGUUUUUGUUUUUCUUCCGCGGAGUACAUUUUCUCUGCAUGGAGGCGUAUUUCCGUGAAACCCGUUUCCACUUAAGUGUACCGAAGGGGUAUCUUCUAAUCUCGUCCAUCCAUUCCCCAUCCAACGGCCAUCUUUCCCCUUCCAUUUUCUUUUCUUUUCCCUUUCUUUUUUUUCUUUUCCUUUUUCUCUUUUCUUCUUCUUCCUCACGUCUUCUUCCUAGCUGCAGCCAUGGCCAAGCCCAGCCCGGCCGCCCGCUGCUGCUCGCCGGCCACCCCGCCGCCAAGCUCCGCCACUCACCGCCGCAGCAGCAGCCACCCCCUGCCCGCGCUGCGUCACAGCCCGAGCUCGAGCUCGAGUUCGCCGGCGUCCAUGGUUGCCCCAUCGCGAAAUCCACUCCCCGAACGCGUUUUCUCCGAGAUUUUCGCACCAAAUCUUUCCCCUCACAUCAAGGAAUCUAUCCCAACAAGAUUGAAACCAUUCCGGACUCUAUCUCGUCCGAAUUUUAAGCGAAACCGAUCCCGUUCAAAUCUCACCCUCCGCCGGCCUUAUCCCGAGCGCCCCGCAUGCUAUAAAAGCCUCCAACCUGACGCCCUUGAGAGCCCCGACCAAUCCCUCGAAACCUAGCUCGAAACCGCAGUCAAUCUUGCCGCCAAUUUCAAGUUUCGUCGCCCUUUCAACGCAAACUCCGGCGAGCAAUUCCUACCACCUCGCCCCAUAUUAGUCUGAGCCACCACCACCUCGCCUAGAACACCACCAUACACCACAGCCUUGCCUCCGGAAACCUCUGUUUUGCCGACACCCAUCAACUCCGGCGAACUUCAUCUUCUCCGGUGAGCUUCUUGUUCUGUUUUUCGAGCUACAGUCUGUUUGAUUAGCCUACUUCUAUACCCCGUAUCUUCUGUUCCAUAGAUCCUAUCUAGGAAAUUCUUUCUGCAUAUGUUAGCUUACAUCUUUUUUUAUAAAUUGGAUCUCUUUGUAAGCCCCGUCUCUAUCAUCUUCAGCAGUGCAUCGUCAUUCCAAAUCGGUAUUCCCAAUAGUCUGUUUUAGAUUAGAUACCUUUCGACGUUUUGGUUGAGUAGAUCAUAGACCCGUUUAGGUUGUAAGCUUCUGUAGUUUAACGAGUAGGUCUUGUGUUACACCCUGUUAAUUUUGCGCACCUUUUGUAGGUUUAGAUAAUGAACUAAAAUUUUGUCAAAACUAGCUACCUGUUAAAAAGAACUUGCACCGGUUUAGUUUAGCCAGCACAGUUAUUGAUUAGACACGUUGUAGAGCUUAAUGUUUAAAAUAUAAAAAUUCCUUUUGGUUUAUUCUUUCUGUAGUUUAAACACUGGUUAAAACUCUACACCUCAGAACACUUUUCACGUAACAUGUAAUUAGAUUACACUAGUAGAUUAAUAAUUGAAAACUGUAUUCACAGAACCCUGUUUUUGAUUAGCUACUUUCGUAGGCUUGUAUCUUUUGUUUCGUAGCUCCGUUUUAGAUGAAACUUUCUGUGUUAUAAGCCCUAAGUUACGUUCUUAGUUUCAGUAGCUUCUGUGCCGUUACUUCUGACGUGUUUCGACAGUCCCCUUCCCGUUAGAUUCGCUAUCUGCUAUCAGCAUGUAGGUUAUCAAUUGUCUCCACUUGUUUCCAAAUCUUGUUCCUAGCCUUAGAUCUAUGCUUACGGUUGGAUUGGUAUUAGUUGUGCCUUGUUAGCUGUUGUUCUAAAUUUAAGUUUAUGUAAUUCUUAUUCGAUUCUUAUUAGAGUUAUUAUUUGGAGUUGUUGAACAAGUUAUUCAUUGUUGCUUUCGUUCUUCGGGAUAGAUUAUCCCGAGAGUGAGUGCGAAGAGUGCCAGGGAAAUUCUGAUCGUUACGGCAACUCAGGCUCAGGCAAGUGGAUACCUUUGAUCAUCUAGAAUCCUAUAAUUUUUGCAUAUGCUACUUUGUUUACAAGUUGUAGGCAUGCAUGUGUAGGUUUAUAUUGUUAUGAAGUAUUUAUAAAAUGUGUUUGCAAUUUAUUAGCUAUGUCCUAAGUAGUAUGCCUAUAGGUUAUUGGCAUGCCACCAAUUACCCUAAGUUAUUACUUGUAUGAUUUUUACAAAGUGCUUGCUACAUUAUUGUAUCGGGAGGGACCCAAACUAUUUUCAAAGUAUUAAAUGCUCAGAAUUGAGUCGUAUGUGUUUGGAAAAAUGUUUUCGAAACAAAACCUCAAAAUGUUUUCAACUAGGCGGAGUGGUAUGUUUGAGACCAUUAUUGGUUGUCGACAAGGGCAGCAUCUAGUUCGGCUCUGCAGAUGCUCAGAAAUUCGGUGGGGACCGCCGUCCAGAAUCUAAAAGUUCAAUUAUUUUCCAAUGAAACCCAAAAGCUUACCUGUACAACCACCUGCUAUUAUGGCUCUGGCUUAGUCGAGUAACUAGCGGGAAACCCUUACUUGGGUAUCGUCAUCCGGAGAGGGGCCAAUGUUCUCAUAUGGGGCGGGCGGUGUCGGAUUAAGUAUAGGGGGCUUCUAGUAAAGACUUCGUCACAAUUUUUACCUAUUGUGCACGCUUGUCGUUAGGCAACACUUUGGACUGAUUGUGUGACAAUCUUUGAGCUACUAAGUCUGGUUAAGAGGAGAUCUUCUAGUUUUGUUUUCAAAAACCAAAAACUGUUUUGACUCGAUGGAAGCAUCCACAGAAUGAGUAUCUACUCGAUGGAUCCCACAGAAUGGGUCAGGAAAAUCAAAAGUUGCUAUGUGAGUGUCAGUUUGACCCAAAAUACAUAGUUAGGUCGUGGAGAUUCCACAGAAAGACAAUAUCUACUUUUCAAAACUAUUUUCUAUGAAAUUCUAGAGUUAGAGUUUUCCAAAUAAAAAGUAUUAUGAGUAUUUCAAAAUCCAAAACUGGCUUUUUGCAAAAGAAACCGUAGAAGCCUAUUUAGGACUUUUCGCAUGUACUUGCAUUUCUCCUAACCACACAGGUAUCUACUUGCAAGUACAUUCAAUGUACUGAUCUGCACCUAUCACGUGCAGAUGUUGAAGUAUGAAAAAAGGUUACGCAGGGUCGCGGGUCUAUACUCAACAAGCCUGUGGCGUUGAUGGACUCAUUUGUGUUCAAUUUGAUUUUCUGCUGUGUAAUAAAAUAUGUACUCUGGAUUAUUGUUUAUCGUUAAUAAAAAGACAUGUGUUUUUUGUAUUUCAUCUUGAACUGUGUGUACUAGCUAUUGAUCCAAGCACUAAUACAGAAUACACAGAGAUUCCGGAUCCUUACGGGUCUGGGUCGCCACAGAAGCUUAGCUUGCGGGUCGGGUUUCUCCACAUCAGCCAUCAUGAGGAAGAAUGCUUGCAUGGCCUCGAGCUCGUCCCGGAGAAACUUGAUGUCUCUUUGGACACCCUUAAGCAACUUGUACUCGUCGCUCAACAUGGUGCCCAGCUUUCUAACGAGGGAACCGAUGGCCCCCGUGGAUGCGCACACCAAAAGUUCUGCCAUUGUUUGAUCUCGCGGGUGGCAAAUACAGUGUGGUGGUUUGGAUGGAGAAGAGACGGGGCCUCCAUUGUUUUGUACAGCCGACGGAGUAAACAAUACCCAGAUUUCUCUAGCGCCGGCGGCACCGGCCAACGAUAGGAACGCAUACAUUUGGAUUAAUCAUUAACACAGAAUAAAGAACUCGACUGCCAAUUAAUUGUCCCUUUCCAUGUUUUACAAUCUAGCAGACAAAUAAUGUUUUGCGAGACAAUUUAUACAUGUGCGGCGGCGGAGUGCCCCGCCUCCGCCGGAGUAAACAAUACCCGGAUUAUUAUGGAUUAAUUAUGGAAACAGGAUUUAAUAUUACAAGGUUUGUACAUGUAUACUGCACUUAGAAGAUGCAAGUUGCAGCAAUGAAUUAAUUGGCCUGAUUGAUUGAUAGCUCAACAUUUGUUUAACUGAGUGAAAACGAAGUCUUAUCGGUUAUACAAAUUUCCAACAUAUAAGUAUAUAACCUAUUGCAUGCCCACUAAUUAAGUGACUCCAGAGUCAUUGUUCAUACAUACAAACAUUAGAUGCAUGGUUUCCAGCUUGUUAUCUUUCAGGUGAUUAUUACUUGUAGGUGUAGCCACCUGCUCCAUUGUACUCUAGUGAAAUCCAAGUCUUUUCCAUUAAUUGACGGGAGGCCAUCCAAUCCAAGCUAGUUUCUCAAUAUGGACUAUUCUGUGGCUUGUUAGUCAAUCAGAUGCAGACCCGAUGCAUGAUCGUUUGCAUGGUCUGAGGUGAGUGAGAUUUCUUUCUUGACAAGCAUCCUAGUGGCGACACAAAUUGGUGGUUGUUUACAUUACCAAUUAAUUAAAUUACUGCACACACAAACUGUAUGAACCAAACAAAAAAAACUCCCCUUGUUGUUCAGAAAAUGAUUCAACUGAAGUGAAAUCAGACAUAACCGCAAAAUCCGGAAGAGCGGCGAAACCUCACCAAACUGGCAGGUGGCAGCAAUCCAAUCCUCGCCUGGAAGAACCGUAUCCAUCUCCUCGCCUCACAUCGCCAACCAACCAAGGAAACAGGGGGACAGGACCCGCUCGCCGUCGACGCAUCUAACUCCGACCCGCCCGCCGCCGCCUGCAGCGGUGCCCUCUCCGUCGGAAUCGCCAGGAUCGGGUCGGAUCACGGACAGUGGCGCACCCACCUACUUCUGGCCCAACCCAAUCUUUUGUUUUUAAUCAUUUCUACAUUUGGCCCAUCUGUUGCGGAGGGCUUUCUUCAGG